UAACUUGAGAGUUUGAUCCUGGCUCAGAACGAACGCUGGCGGCAGGCCUCAUACAUGCAAGUCGAGCGGUCCUUCGGGACAGCGGCGAACGGGUUAGUAACGCGUGGGAACGUGCCCUUUAGUACGGAAUAGCCAUUGGAAACGAUGAUUAAUACCGUAUACGCCCUAAGGGGGAAAGAUUUAUCGCUAAAGGAUCGGCCCGCGUUAGAUUAGGUAGUUGGUGGGGUAAUGGCCUACCAAGCCGACGAUCUAUAGCUGGUUUGAGAGGAUGAUCAGCAACACUGGGACUGAGACA
rnacentral:rRNA from 1 species